ACGUUGAAUGUUCUCAAAACGACAUACUAAGUUUCUUUCUUUUGUUUAUAUAUAUACAUUUAGCAGUUUGACUUUCCUUAGAGUCUAUGUAACCUGUUCUGAAAUGGUUCUAUUAUGAUUUAUAUAUCGUGAUAUAUAUCGUUAUCGCAAUAGGUUGCAAUGUAUAUCGCAAUAUGGAUUUUAGGCCAUAUCGCCCAUCCCUAGUACAGGCUCCAAAUUAUUAUUGUAAGCUGGAGUAAUAGGUUGGGUUCUGAUGUCUUCAGUCUUCUUUCCAGCUACUCUCCUGAGCUCUGCAUCUUCAUCACAUGAGUGUUGCUUUAAUGAUGAGGGUGUGGUCUGAGUGAGCGGAGGUGCAUACUGGGAUACAGCGCUGUCUGAAUUCUACAGGUCUGUAGACACGCCCCCUCAGGGGAAACCGAGUGUUUGAGAAACCGUUGUGACGUCAGUUACAUGGACUACAAUGUUCUUUAAGAUGGAGACGGGGAUUCAGAAGGAGAAACGCCAGGGGGAGAUGAGGGGGCUCCUCAUCUCAACAGUUAAAACACAGUCUGACGCAGAGAACCAUGGAACACAUUCAACAGUCCCCUCCAGACAUCGUGACUCCUCAGGAACAGUUUCAUUUCCAAGAAGGUCUUAAUUGGGGCCAUUCCAAGAUGGAUCCUGCUCCUCAAGAGCCAUCCCCCUCCACUGGGUGGUCUUCUGAGCAGAUGACCUCCUUCCUGUCCCCAGGCUGACUAAAGCUCUACCGUUUGCAUCUGUGAAGGCCCCUCAUUCAGGAAACCACUCGACUACAAAGACAUGACUUCAGAGACGUUGAAUCAACCUUGGACACAUUUUGGAGACGCCAAGCAUAAUCCAUCACCAAUGUGGGACGCCACUGAAAAAUGUUGCACAUCAUUUACUUCUCUGGAGACAUUGGUUGUUCUGUUCUGGGUGCCCUGGCAGGAGAGCUGGGGUUGGAUGAUGGAACGUUAUUUGGCAUGAGGUUUUUACCCUGCAUGAUUGUUUGACUUUUUAUGGCUCAGUGGUGUGUGUGUGUUUUGGGUUUGGCAUGAGAUGGAUGAUUUUUGAGCAUCGCUAGGGUUCUGCUGUGUGUGUCUCACACCUGGCAUGGGGUUCUACCUGCGUGUCCUGGGUUCUAUGUGUGUGUCCGACUUGCUUUGACAGUGAUAAUGUACAUACGGGGAUCUGUGUGAUUGGCUUGGGAUAUUGGAAUGGUCAACUAAAUCAUACCUGAUGGAUGGCCACACGUUUACUUAAGGGCCUCCAGUAGACAUGAAGAGCCCAGAGCGACGCUGCGGAGCGAUGUCCAACACACUGGGCAGGAAGGAGGGGUUCCAACUCGAGUGUAAAAGGAUGCAAGCGGUGUGUUCAGAUCAGUGACUUCAAACUAGGAAUACACCAAUCAGGAUCAAUGGAGGAUGGACACCUAAAGAAAUUCCAAAAGGAGAGUGAUGUUGGAAAGGGACCUAAAUGGAUAUUCAAGAUAACCUUCAGACCUGUAAUGAGACGGCUCUUCCUACCUGGCUGGAUUGAUGGAGAGCCCUGUGGAUCUUGUCUUGCUCUCAGUUGCACGUCUUCUCAGGCUAAACUGUAUUUGUUUCGGACAGGACUGGCUGGAUGAUUGGUUCCCUUAAUCAGAACCAAUCUGGGAACUCCAACUAGUGCGCUCUUCGAGCUGAAGUUGCGCUCUUCGAGCUGAAGUUGCGCUCUUCGAGCUGAAGUUGCGCUCUUCGAGCUGAAGUUGUGCUCUUCAGCUGAGGAGGCAAGGAAACCUUAACUGGGGCUUCAAGGUGUAAAGAGGAGAAUGUUUCAAAGUGUUCCAUGGUACUCUGAUGAGAACCGUUGUGUUCUACUGGUCGGGAGGAAGAACCCUCACAUCUUCCUCUUGGCCUUUCUCCUCUGAGAAUCCUUGCGCCAUCUUGUAGGAUAUUCCAGCUCAUGUAACCGAUGUCACGACAGAUUCUCAAACACUUGGUUUCUCCUGAAGGGCGUGUCUAUAGAACUGAAGACUUCAGAAAGCACUGUAUCCCAGCAUGCAUCUCUGCUCACUCAGACCACACCCCCAUGAGUAGAAUGCAACACUCUAGUGAUGGAGAUGUAGAGUUUUAUAAGUAACGAGGGAGCAGACAAAGGUGAUUAGAACACAAUGGCAUGUCAAGUCGGUAAAUCUUUAAACAAUGAAGAUGGUUGGAUAGUUCAGGAAUUGGGCUUUUUAUUAUGGGCGGUUCUUUCACUCAGAUGCCCACUUCUCACUGGACCUGUACAUGUGUUGGCUGGCUGGCAUGAUUUGCUGUUGGUGAUGAGGCGGUCAGGGUGACGUUGCAGGGCUAUGGUCGGCUCUCUGUGAGCUCAACGUUUAGAUUUGCUCUGUAUGGUUUGUACCCUGAAUAAUCUAGAUAAUUGUAAAAUGUAGACACGGUUUUGUAUUGAAUGAUUUGAGGUUUAAAGUUGUUGUGGGACGUACAUGGUAGUUUGGUUCUUCGUACGGUUUUGAGUGAUAUAACUUGUACACACUGGGUGCAUAAUAAUGUAAAGGUACACUGAAUAUUAGCAAUGACCAACAGCAACAAACUGAUCUCCUCAAGGUAAGUCUGUUGGCUGUGUUUUAAUGAAGACCAUCGCUGGACUUCAGGAUCUUCCUCCGUUCAGCUCAAGGUGAGGCGCUGGUUCUGUUUUUUCUUUGGUUGGUUCCGGCCGGAAUGUUCGGAUUCCAGUCUGACGUUUUGUGCUUCCCGCCGUGGAAGGUUCUGAGUGCGGUCACUUGAUUUAGUCCCAAUGGUUAGCAUAGAACGUUGCAGUCUUGACAACCAUAAGAAACCACCUGGCAGUUAGUUGGACGGGGGUCCCCUGAGGGAAUCUGGCAGAACGUUCUGGAUUGUAUUUGCGUAACCUCGAGCCGUUGCCAACGGAAACUAUUUUUCAGGAAUUGUUGCCCCUUAUCUUAAACAGCUUAAGUUUAAUAUUAAAUACAUACUGACACGUACGUCGUACAAUAUGUUGAUCAUUUCCGAUGGUUGCGCCGUACUUUUAACCACGAUGACGUGACGGGACGCUGCGUUCAAAUCGGCGUUCUACUUGCGGGCCCAUUUUUGACAUCAGUGACGGCUGAAAAUCAUUUCAAGGUGGCAUUUCAACGGAACCCAGCACCUGAAUAUGGCUGAGUAUAUUUGAUUUAAUAUCGAUACUGCUUAGUGUUCUUUGUUACUUCAGCUUUUGUACGUUCUAAAUAUCUGCUGUCAUUAAUUGCCACAGAAGUUAAACCCUACCAAAUGGAAUGACGUUAAACAACGACUUUGGUGCAGAGUUACCAACUGGAUAAUAUCAAAGCUAAAAUAAUGGCCGUCCUUCCCACAUGUUACAGUAGAUGAUACUCUAGAACUGUACAAGGUUAAAAAGGUAACAUGUCGUUUGUCCCAAGGUGUCUGCCUCCUCACCCAGAGCAAGACCUCCACCUCCUCACCCAGAGCCAGACCUCCACCUCCUGUCAGAAGUCCUCCAGAACAGUGCUCUGAUGAAAGGUGAGGCUGAGAGGCUGGGGACCGGAGGCUUGUGGUGCCAGGAUGGACCAGAGACUGAGGCUGGAGACCAGGGGCCUGCAGCACCGGACCGGAGGGUAACCAUCACCAAGCUCAUCUGAAACAGUAAAAUCCACGACCAGGAAUCUAUGUCUGGGGGAGCCGUGCUGAUGGAGGAGCCGUGCUGAAGGAGCUGAUGGAGGAGCCAUGCUGAUGGAGUGCCGUGCUGAAGGCCCUGCCUCGUGGAGGAGCUGGUGGAGGCCCUGCCUGGUGAAGGAUGUCUGUCGUGGGGUAGAUGGAGCUUGACUCUGAAGUGAUCUUCACACUCACUGCCACUUCUCGUAGAAUUCUGCUACCACAAACUACCGGCGUUUGUACCAUAUAUACCAGACAACUACAUCUGUUUUACCACAUGUUGAAGCAAGACUUCCGCUGUUUGUUCCAGACCAGGAAUCUGAGGAGAGCUGCUGGAUUCCUCAACGUGUUUCUGGAGCGGAGGCGAGCUGGUAGGGUAACCGUGAAUCUGGAGGAUGACCAUCACUCUACCAACAAGGAUUACGUUAGGGCCAGACUCGCGCUGUUUGUUCCAGACCAGGACUUUGGCUGAGGUGAGCUGAUGGAGGAGCAAAGACUCUGGAGGACGACAUCACUCUACCAACCAGGAUCCUUACAAGGGAUCUGGAGGACUGAUGGAGAAGCCGUACAUCAGGAAGGCAAAUCCUGAGGACAACCAGGACUCUACCAUCAAGGAUUCCUCACACACCUGAGCUGAACCUCACCUGAUCCUGUUUGGUCGGGGGAAGGCACACCUGAGCUGAACCCGCCCUGAUCCUGACAUCCUGCUGGUCCCGUCUCCUCAGUUCAUCUGAGCCUUGUCCUCCAGAAGACCUGCUGAGCUCAGCAGUCUGAGGCUGAUGGAUCAAUGACCUCCAGUGGGAGUGACCUUCUUGACCCCACAUGUAACCGUGUGCUUCCACACGCCUUUCCCGCAUGUCUGUCACUAACCUCACUACUCUCUACUGCUUCCUCUUCUUCUUCCUUCUCUGUUAUUCGAACCUUUACACUGAAGGCGCGUCUUCCUGCCCUCAGAGGGUUCAGCGUUAGGGUUGAGAGUCAGGGUUUAGAGUCAGGGACAGAGCUGGUCAGGGAGGACUGCUUUUACACAAACCUCUUCACUUCCUUUCGGAAUGGUGGUGACAUUUUGGAAAGAUUCAUUUUGGAAAAUGUUUUCCUCUGCCUUCCUUUACAAAAUUGUAUUAAACUUCUGUCAAGUGUUUCUGUUUAUAUAUUAAAAUCCCAACUUGACUUCUGCAUGUUUAGUGCGGUUCAUUUAAUUGUCCUUUAACUUGGUUAAUGUCUAGCUAAACUCCUGCAAUACAUUUAAUAUACGUGAUUGUUAUUCAGCAAUGUUCACAUAAUCCAUUUGUAAAAAUAUUAAACCUCCAUAUUACUACUAAAUUCAAGUCUAUUCAUGUAUUUAACAAUGUACAUACUGCCCUGCAGGCCAUUCUCUGCUACUACAACACGUUCAAUCCACCAACCCGUCUCACAUCAAUGUACUAUAGCUACGUUGGUUCAAACGAAAAAUGUAGUUUGGUGUGAGACUGUCUAGCAGAGGGAGCUGUCAUACACCUUAAUUAUUCAGGAAUAUCUGUGUAUUUACAUUUUAAAAUGUUCAUGUGCUGGUCUAGUUUGUCUGCCAAUAACUCUGCCUCCAGCAACAGGAUUGGUCGAAGCAUAUGAAGUGAAAGAAAUAAAAGCCCAGUUCACCAGAUCUGAGGUCAGCUGCGGUCAGAUUUUGGAUCAUGAAUGUAUUGAGUGAACGACGUCUGAGCUAAAUAUUAACCACCUGGAACUUGGUGCGUUUCCUGGAGCUCGGAGGACGGCAGGACGCGUGUUUACCUGGUCGAUUAGGCCCUGAACGCAGGCC